GGGGUGGAUCAUAGACGUUCAACAGGUGACAAUCAUUUCUGUAAAGGGCAAUUAAGGCGAAGAAAGAACGACUCAUUAAGUUUUUAUUGCCAUAAGUUUUUAACAGUAUGUGCAAGUGCCAGCACGCGCUGAAACAAUUAGCUGUAACCAAACUAUUGUGUCUGAUCUAAAAGGGGAGAGGGAAAUAAUUCAUCAAUCUAAAAUGAGGAAAAAAAUGUAUAAAACAACAGAUUUGUGGCGGGUAAAUUGUUUUGCCUACAAUAUCAAAAUACCGUUAUACAUCAGUAAUAAAUAUGAAUUAAAAAACAUUUAGACACAUUUAUUUGACUCUUAUAAAACAACAAUUUACAUGAAAUAAAUAUAAAUUUACAACAGAUGUCAAGUGCGAUGUUGGGAAGCAGGUUGUUUUGAUCCAUAAGACAAAUGAAGGCAAUCUGCAGGAUAAGAGAGAAAAAUAAAGAUGUUAAAAUGCUUUUCAUUAUCUUUACCCAGGUUUGCACUAACAUCCUAUUUUAGCAGGGAGAAUUCCACCUUAUUCUAUUGACCUCUAACUUUGGAUGUGAAAAAGUGUAGCUGUGUACGGUCUUGACAUUUUUGAGUGAACUGACAGCGAGAAGAGAGGAUCUAACAGAGUCGCGGGGCGACGCCACAACACGAACCCUUUUUAACUUUCCAUAUCUGUCUCAUGCAAGAGAUAUCAGAGACUUGGGGAUGAGUGGAGGUGGGUGAUGGGGUGCUGCAUGUGUGAGAGGGAGUGUGAAUGUGUGGGAGAAACAGAGAAAGACGGGGAGAGAGGGAGAGGCGCUCGAGGCUACUGAGUACUUGAGCCGCUAUAAUGGUGUCUCGUAUGAGAAAACAUCUGUGAAUUUCCUCAGUGAUCUACAACAAAGUAUAACUCAGAGCAGUCACUCAGCAGACCUUUGAAGUUGCUGUCUGACAGAAAGCUGCCAUUGUUCACAGCCCCCAACACACAGAAACUCCAACUUUGGUCUCACUAAUUUUCCCUGCAACGCGAUACAAGUCUUUUUUUUUUUCCUCUCUCUCUCCCUCUUCCAGGCCUAUGAAGCCGGGGAUCUCUGCAUAUUCAAGAGCAAACAGCAAAGCCUUGGCAAUGUGCAGGGUUGGCUUGGGGGUCAAGUAAGGCGGGACAGGUCGUUUUACCUUCUCUCAGCCCACCCUGAAUGUGCUAAUCCAGUCCAGCCUUAAAGAGGAAAACUCUCUCCCCUCUAUGAUGAUGAUGAUGUACAGACUUGAACAGAGUGAGUUACAGCCUGCAGCGCUCUCCCAGGAACAUUAUAAUAAAGCAACCUCACCUCCAAUCACCAAACUCAGAUCCAAUGGACACUCCUGUGAUAAUCAAGUGCUAUCAACCCUUCAGUUUACUGCACUUAGCUUUUUAAACAUUUGUUUAUUAUAUGACCGUCAUCUUUUGUUGGAAAUGUUUGUGAGCUGCUACAAAUAUAUCACCUUUUUCCACGAUCUACUAAGCAGCAGGUGGCAACGACAUAACUGUGAGAAAUUUGAACCUUACACUAGAAAUUCUUGUCAUCCUCAAAAAGCAAAAACACAAGAAAAUAACAGCACUAGAAGUUGGAAUAUAAAUAUUUACAAAGUUAUGUAUGUUCAACUCAGUUUUGUAACUUUGCUUUAACAUAAAGCUGUGUUACGUGUCUGCAGGCUGCAUGUUUUCUUUCCCUCUCCUUUUGUUUGCCAUUCCCUUAGGUACGCAGACUGCAGGCUGAUGUCAAUUUGGGGAUCUCCAACUAAUUAGAGGAGGGAGACCCUGAUUGGACAAACCAGGAGGGCACACCUUGAUAAGGAGACUGACCUGUGGCUGGGCGCGGCUCUCUUCCCUCCUUCGAAUUGUUUGGCACAUGUCUAAAACGCCUCUGCUGUAUUUCUUUUGUUUGAUGGUUGUGGUGGGAGUAAAGUGGACUAGGUAAGUUUGGGGACCCCAUACAUUUACUCACGUAGAGUCUUUUUGUUAGAAACACUAGGUAAGUAGGUUGGUGCCACCCAUGUAAUUUUGAGCUUGUUUUGAAUUGAGGUUUAGAGUCUUUCCCCCCUUUUUUUGUUUUUCUAGGAUAAUAGCUCAGCUAAGUUUUGGUUUUGUCUUUUAGGUUGUGCCAAAAAAAAACACCAAACUGUCCCUUUCUCCCCCGCAUUUGUUGUUUGAAUUUGGGUUAUUUAUUUUGUGAGCGCGCUGCCAUUAAACUUUUUUAUAACACCUGUACCGGGUUUCCAGAGUUGUUGUGUUAUCCCCUUCUGCCCUCGAGGAGACGUAACAAGCUGUCAGAUAUUGUGGCAGAAUAUGUCACUAUAUAGCUAUGCAAUGCUU
ensembl:lncRNA